GACGAACGCUGGCGGCGUGCUUAACACAUGCAAGUCGAGCGAUGAAGCUUCUGCGGAAGUGGAUUAGCGGCGGACGGGUGAGUAACACGUGGGUAACCUGCCUCAUAGAGGGGAAUAGCCUUCCGAAAGGAAGAUUAAUACCGCAUAAGAUUGUAAUAUCGCAUGAUAUAGCAAUUAAAGGAGCAAUCCGCUAUGAGAUGGACCCGCGUCGCAUUAGCUAGUUGGUGAGGUAACGGCUCACCAAGGCGACGAUGCGUAGCCGACCUGAGAGGGUGAUCGGACACAUUGGGACUGAGAGACGGCCCAGACUCCUACGGGAGGCAGCAGUGGGGAAUAUUGCACAAUGGGGGAAACCCUGACGCAGCAACGCCGCGUGAGUGAUGACGGUCUUCGGAUUGUAAAGCUCUGUCUUUAGGGACGAUAAUGACGGUACCUAAGGAGGAAGCCACGGCUAACUACGUGCCAGCCGCCGCGGUAA
rnacentral:rRNA from 1 species